rnacentral:rRNA from 1 species
AAAGAAACCAACAGGGAUUGCCCUAGUAACGGCGAGUGAAGCGGCAACAGCUCAAAUUUGAAAUCUGGCCCUUGCGGUCCGAGUUGUAAUUUGUAGAGGAUGCUUUUGGUUAGGUGCCUUCCGAGUGCCCUGGAACGGGACGCCAUAGAGGGUGAGAGCCCCGUCUGGUUGGACACCGAGCCUCUGUAAAGCUCCUUCGACGAGUCGAGUAGUUUGGGAAUGCUGCUCUAAAUGGGAGGUAUAUGUCUUCUAAAGCUAAAUAUUGGCCAGAGACCGAUAGCGCACAAGUAGAGUGAUCGAAAGAUGAAAAGCACUUUGAAAAGAGGGUUAAAAAGUACGUGAAAUUGUUGAAAGGGAAGCGCUUGUGACCAGACUUGGGCCCGGUCAAUCAUCCAGGGUUCUCCCUGGUGCACUUGGCCGGCCCAGGCCAGCAUCAGUUCGUCGCGGGGGAUAAAGACGUUGGGAAUGUGGCUCCUCCGGGAGUGUUAUAGCCCUUCGUGCAAUACCCUGCUUUGGACUGAGGUUCGCGCAUCUGCAAGGAUG